CGGUGGAGCAUGUGUUUAAUUCGAAGCAACGCGAAGAACCUUACCAGGCCUUGACAUGCAGAGAACUUUCCAGAGAUGGAUUGGUGCCUUCGGGAACUCUGACACAGGUGCUGCAUGGCUGUCGUCAGCUCGUGUCGUGAGAUGUUGGGUUAAGUCCCGUAACGAGCGCAACCCUUGUGUUUUAGUUGCAAACAGGUCAAGCUGUGCACUCUAGACAGACUGCCGUGGACAACACGGAGGAAGGUGGGGAUGACGUCAAAUCAUCAUGCCCCUUAUGAUCUGGGCUACACACGAGCUACAAUGGCCGGUACAACGGGCAGCGAAGGAGCGAUCCGGAGCGAAUCCUAAAAAGCCGGUCCCAGUUCGGAUUGCAGGCUGAAACUCGCCUACAUGAAGUUGGAGUUGCUAGUAAUCGCGAAUCAGAAUGUCGCGGUGAAUGCGUUCCCGGGUCUU
rnacentral:rRNA from 1 species